rnacentral:rRNA from 1 species
CCCUACGGGGCGCAGCAGUGAGGAAUAUUGGUCAAUGGGCGGGAGCCUGAACCAGCCAAGCCGCGUGAGGGAAGAAGGUACAGCGUAUCGUAAACCUCUUUUGUCAGGGAACAAAGGCGGGGACUAGUCCCCGGAUGAGGGUACCUGAAGAAAAAGCAUCGGCUAACUCCGUGCCAGCAGCCGCGGUAAUACGGAGGAUGCGAGCGUUAUCCGGAUUUAUUGGGUUUAAAGGGUGCGCAGGCGGCCCGUUAAGUCAGCGGUAAAAGCCCGUGGCUCAACCCCGGCGAGCCGUU